AGAGAUGGAUUUGUGCCUUCGGGAACUGUGAGACAGGUGCUGCAUGGCUGUCGUCAGCUCGUGUUGUGAAAUGUUGGGUUAAGUCCCGCAACGAGCGCAACCCUUAUCCUUUGUUGCCAGCGAUUAGGUCGGGAACUCAAAGGAGACUGCCAGUGAUAAACUGGAGGAAGGUGGGGAUGACGUCAAGUCAUCAUGGCCCUUACGACCAGGGCUACACACGUGCUACAAUGGCGCAUACAAAGAGAAGCGACCUCGCGAGAGCAAGCGGACCUCAUAAAGUGCGUCGUAGUCCGGAUUGGAGUCUGCAACUCGACUCCAUGAAGUCGGAAUCGCUAGUAAUCGUGGAUCAGAAUGCCACGGUGAAUACGUUCCCGGGCCUUGUACACACCGCCCGUCACACCAUGGGAGUGGGUUGCAAAAGAAGUAGGUAGCUUAACCUUCGGGAGGGCGCUUACCACUUUGUGAUUCAUGACUGGGGUGAAGUCGUAACAAGGUAACCGUAGGGGAACCUGCGGUUGGA
rnacentral:rRNA from 1 species